GACGAACGCUGGCGGCGUGCCUAAUACAUGCAAGUCGAACGCUUUUUCUUUCACCGGAGCUUGCUCCACCGAAAGAAAAAGAGUGGCGAACGGGUGAAUAACACGUGGGUAACCUGCCCAUCAGAAGGGGAUAACACUUGGAAACAGGUGCUAAUACCGUAUAACACUAUUUUCCGCAUGGAAGAAAGUUGAAAGGCGCUUUUGCGUCACUGAUGGAUGGACCCGCGGUGCAUUAGCUAGUUGGUGAGGUAACGGCUCACCAAGGCAACGAUGCAUAGACGACCGGAGAGGGUGAUCGGCCACACUGGGACUGAGACACGGCCCAGACUCCUACGGGAGGUAGCAGUAGGGAAUCUUCGGCAAUGGACGAAAGUCUGACCGAGCAACGCCGCGUGAGUGAAGAAGGUUUUCGGAUCGUAAAACUCUGUUGUUAGAGAAGAACAAGGAUGAGAGUAAAACGUUCAUCCCUUGACGGUAUCUAACCAGAAAGCCACGGCUAACUACGUGCCAGCAGCCGCAGUAA
rnacentral:rRNA from 1 species